UACGGAAGGUCCGGGCGUUAUCCGGAUUUAUUGGGUUUAAAGGGAGCGCAGGCUGGAUAUUAAGCGUGAUGUGAAAUGUAGGUGCUCAACAUCUGAAUUGCGUCGCGAACUGGUUUCCUUGAGUGCAUUCGGCGUCAGCGGAAUUCGUGGUGUAGCGGUGAAAUGCUUAGAUAUCACGAAGGACUCCGAUUGCGCAGGCAGCUGACGAGACUGUAACUGACGCUAAAGCUCGAAAGUGCGGGUAUCGAAC
rnacentral:rRNA from 1 species